rnacentral:tRNA from 1 species
UGGGGCAUCGUCUAAUGGUAGGACUGCAGAUUCUGAUUCUGCCUGUAUUGGUUCGAAUCCAGUUGCCCCAACCA